GAAUGUUCAGAUUUAAUAACUGAUAAUAAUGCUGAGAAUAAUAGCAAGUUUUAUAUUAUUGUGGGUUCAAAAUAUAAAUGCUGAAUGUAUCAGUAUCACAACAGAAAGUGGACCAAUUGCGCCGCAAAAAAUAUGUUCCGGUGAUUUGAUAUUCCAAGAUAAUUUUGAUAAACUGGAUUCGAGUAAAUGGGAUCACGAGCAAACACUUGGAGGAGGCGGGUUCUACAAAUGCAGACAACAACGGAUACCGUCGGACUAGAAAUGCCACCAAUAUCCUCAAUCCAAUCAAAAGUGCUCGAAUGAGAACUUUGAAAGCGUUCUCAUUUGAUGGUAGAGUAGAAGUACGAGCACAAACACCUUCUGGAGAUUGGUUAUGGCCUGGUUUGUGAAACUUUUAUAAAAUUAAGUUCUCCUAUAAAUUUUGUGAAUAAAUUUAGUAUCAGUAUUACCUUUUUUUUAGCUAUUUGGUUAUUACCAAGUGAAUGGAAAUACGGCAGCUGGCCGACUUUAGGUGAAAUAGAUAUUAUGGAAACUAGAGGCAACAAGCAUUUAGUAGUUGGAGGAAAUGACGAUAUCGGAGCUUGCCUUGCAGCUAGUACGCUUCAUUGGGGCCCCAAUCCAGAGAUGAAUCAGCACUCACUACGAGCAACGAAAUACUGAAGGCUACGACGCGACUUUUCAUAGAUAUCAAUUAGAAUGGACGGCUGAUUAUUUGAAAUUUUUCAUCGAUGAUGAAGAAAUCGGUAGAACAGUACCAGCAUAUGGUGGUUUCUGGGAGUUGGGAGAUUUAGAGGAGUCGGGAUAAUCUAAUCCAUGGAGUAAUGGUACUAAAAUAGCACCAUUCGAUGAACAGUUUCACUUACUUUUAAAUCUAGCGAUCGGAGGUAAUUUCUUUCCCGAUGGAUAUGGUUGGAAACCUUGGCAGAAUUCAUCUCCUAAUCCUAUGAGCCAGUUUUGGUGGGGCAGAAAACAAUGGGAGCCUACUUGGAAUUUAAGUAGUGAACAAUCUCAUUUCAAAAUUGAUUAUGUAAAAGUUUGGGCGAUUUAAUUGAAAAAACUCUUUUUACUUUUUUGUUUGAUAAUAGAAUUGUACUAAUAAUAUUACAUCAAUAAUA